UACGUAGGGCGCAAGCGUUAUCCGGAAUUAUUGGGCGUAAAGGGUGCGUAGGCGGCGCGGUAAGUCGGGUGUGAAAUCUCGGAGCUUAACUCCGAAACUGCAUUCGAUACUGCCGUGCUUGAGGACUGGAGAGGAGACUGGAAUUUACGGUGUAGCGGUGAAAUGCGUAGAUAUCUGGAGGAACACCGGUGGCGAAGGCGGCAUCCUGGACCGGCAUUGACGCUGAGGCGCGAAAGCCAGGGGAGCAAACGGG
rnacentral:rRNA from 1 species